rnacentral:rRNA from 1 species
AUUGAACGCUAGCGGGAUGCUUUACACAUGCAAGUCGAACGGCAGCGCGAGAAAGCUUGCUUUCUUGGCGGCGAGUGGCGAACGGGUGAGUAAUGUAUCGGAACGUGCCCAGUAGCGGGGGAUAACUACGCGAAAGCGUGGCUAAUACCGCAUACGCCUACGGGGAAAGGGGGGAGGUUCUUCGGAACCUCUCACUAUUGGAGCGGCCGAUAUCGGAUUAGCUAGUUGGUGGGGUAAAGGCCU